AUAUUUGGUUGAAUUUACGCCAAAUAAACACAUCGCACCGUUUGGGUUGCACACCUCGAUGUCGCAAUCGGAGACGGACAGGGCGUUCGAAGAAGGACCGAAUUGUCAAGAAGAGGGAGAUUCGGACAGUAGAGCUUCAGCGGAUGGCUUCGCAUCAUCCGAAUGCGGUGUUUCCGUGGAGGGAGAGCCUUGGCACCUGGCAGAAGCUGAGAAAUCUCCGUCUGUGGACGAGAGCGAUAGAUGGAAAUUCGAAGAUAUAAACGAUUUUUCUCAAGAAAAUACGCAUUUACUUCAGAAUCCUCCAGGUCCGUCAGUACUUGCUAUUCCGGUUCACCAAAGAAAUGGCGAUUCGAUUAGAGAGCACGAACAUCCCAACGAGCACUCGUCUUCUCGCGCCUACGAACAAGCCCCGCCAAUUUGCGUCGUUCCUUCAGUUUGGCAUAGCUUCUCUCUGCAAAGAUUGGCACUAAUCCUCGAUGUGCUGCUGACUUUUUUGGUUUUGAUGCUCGGACUGUUAUUGAUCAGGAGGUUCUCCCUGAUCCUCGACGACUGAAUGAAAAGUUAGGAUGCGGUGAUUGCAGAUUUUUUUUUUAAUAAUUUUUUUUUUCAAUCGGCGAGGCAAAAGAGCAGUUUUGUCGACGCUAGUAUCAUGCUUAGAAUCGCGUCGACGUCGAGUUACGUUGAAGAAUUUAGGGAAGAUAAUUACACAGAAGGUGGGGAUGGCAUAUUGGUUUUGGGAACCAUCCGGACCCAGCGGUUUCACAUCAUGACCUCGAAAAUCGAUAUUCAUCGAUAUUUGGUGUUCCUGGUGGAGGUGGCGGCCGCUCACAGACGCGUUGUCAACAAGUAUGGUAAUGAAGAAAUCAUCACAGAUAUGAUGGAGGAUG